rnacentral:rRNA from 1 species
AACGAACGCUGGCGGCAUGCCUAACACAUGCAAGUCGAACGAUCCCUUCGGGGAUAGUGGCGCACGGGUGCGUAACGCGUGGGAACCUGCCCUUAGGUUCGGAAUAACUCAGAGAAAUUUGAGCUAAUACCGGAUAAUGUCUUCGGACCAAAGAUUUAUCGCCUUUGGAUGGGCCCGCGUUGGAUUAGCUAGUUGGUGGGGUAAAGGCCUACCAAGGCGACGAUCCAUAGCUGGUCUGAGAGGAUGAUCAGCCACACUGGGACUGAGACACGGCCCAGACUCCUACGGGAGGCAGCAGUGGGGAAUAUUGGACAAUGGGCGAAAGCCUGAUCCAGCAAUGCCGCGUAAGUGAUGAAGGCCUUAGGGUUGUAAAGCUCUUUUACCCGGGAUGAUAAUGACAGUACCGGGAGAAUAAGCCCCGGCUAACUCCGUG